GACGAACGCUGGCGGCGUGCUUAACACAUGCAAGUCGAACGGAAAGGCCCUGCUUUUGUGGGGUGCUCGAGUGGCGAACGGGUGAGUAACACGUGAGUAACCUGCCCUUGACUUUGGGAUAACUUCAGGAAACUGGGGCUAAUACCGGAUAGGAGCUCCUGCUGCAUGGUGGGGGUUGGUAAGUUUCGGCGGUUGGGGAUGGACUCGCGGCUUAUCAGCUUGUUGGUGGGGGAGUGGCUUACCAAGGCUUUGACGGGUAGCCGGCCUGAGAGGGUGACCGGCCACCUUGGGACUGAGAUACGGCCCAGACUCCUACGGGAGACAGCAGUGGGGAAUAGUGCACAAUGGGCGGAAGCAUGAUGCAGCAACGCCGCGUGCGGGAUGACGGCCUUCGGGUUGUAAACCGCUUUCGCCUGUGACGAAGCGUGAGUGACGGUAAUGGGUAAAGAAGCACCGGCUAACUACGUG
rnacentral:rRNA from 1 species